UUUUUAAAUUCAAGCGUAGAAAGUAUUAAAAAAAAAUCGAAAUUCAUGGUAAAUGAUAAAAAAAAAAUUGGCGAAAAUUACUGGAUAAAACCAAAAACGUGGGGUUAAAUAUGGAAAAGACGAGCGAAGCGAGCGCCAAGAAGCACAACACACCAAUUGUAACCUGCUGUUUAUAAUGUCGCAGCAGCUCGAACUCAUCGAACAGGCUGGUGAAAACCGUAAAGAGUUGCGUGAUCUGUUUUGGGAAAAGAAUGAAAAAUUUAUAGAGGCCAUCAGCAACAUGGUAUAGUAGAUGAUGGUCCAUAAAUUGGGCAGUUCCAGGGUGGACAGAGCACUGGCACUCGAUAGAUACAAUACCCAGUUCACCUCCACAUACGAACCGAAGCUGUUGGUUCUCAUG